UACGGAAGGUCCAGGCGUUAUCCGGAUUUAUUGGGUUUAAAGGGAGCGUAGGCCGUUUGAUAAGCGUGCUGUGAAAUUUAGAGGCUCAACCUCUACCGUGCAGCGCGAACUGUCAGACUUGAGUGCGUAGUAGGUAGGCGGAAUUCGUGGUGUAGCGGUGAAAUGCUUAGAUAUCACGAAGAACUCCGAUUGCGAAGGCAGCUUACCGUAUCGCAACUGACGCUGAUGCUCGAAGGUGCGGGUAUCGAACAGG
rnacentral:rRNA from 1 species